AUGUUCAGCUCGAGCGCCAGGACUAUGAAUCCUAAUGGCAAGAAGCUGGAAGAGUUCGAAUCUGGCAUCUCUCGGGCGCUGCUCGAUCUCAAGGUGCAGCUGCAGGAAUGAAAUUGAAGUUGGUGGUGGUCGGAGAGCUAUCAUAAUUUUUGUACCAGUUCCUCAGCUUAAAUCUUUCCAGAAAAUCCAAGUCCGGCUAGUUCGUGAAUUGGAGAAAAAGUUCAGUGGGAAGCAUGCAGUCUUCAUUGCUCAGAGGAGGAUUCCGCCCAAGCCAACCCAGAAAAGCCAUAAGGAAAAUAAGCAAAAGCACCCCAGAAGGCGCACCCUGACAGCAGUGCACGACGCCAUCCUUGAGGACUUGGUCUUCCCAAGUGAAAUUGGGGGGAAGAGGAUCCCUGUGAAACUGGAUGGCAGCCGGCUCCUAAAAGUUCACUUCGACAAAGCACAGCAGAACAACGUGGAACACAAGGUCGAAACUUUUUCUGGUGUGUAUAAGAAGCUCACAGACAAGGAUGUUAAUUUUGAAUUCCCAGGGUUUCAGUUGUAAAGAAAAUGACUGAAUAAAGUGUCAUUCAUAG